UACGUAGGGGGCAAGCGUUGUCCGGAAUCAUUGGGCGUAAAGAGCGUGUAGGCGGCCCGAUAAGUCCGCUGUGAAAGUCCAGGGCUCAACCCUGGGAUGCCGGUGGAUACUGUCGGGCUCGAGUCCGGAAGAGGAGUGUGGAAUUCCUGGUGUAGCGGUGAAAUGCGCAGAUAUCAGGAGGAACACCGGUGGCGAAGGCGGGAUCCUGGGCCAGUACUGACGCUGAGGAGCGAAAGCGUGGGGAGCAAACAGG
rnacentral:rRNA from 1 species